UGGGGAUGUGGCUCAGUGGUAGAACACUUGCCUAGCUUGCAGGAGGCCUGGUGUUCCAUUCCUAGCACACAA
rnacentral:tRNA from 1 species